rnacentral:SRP_RNA from 1 species
UGCCGGGUGCUAUGCAAGUGUCCGCCUCAAAACCCCGCCAGAGCCGGAAGGCAGCAACGGUAUGAGGACGGAGGCUGUGCCGUAGAUUACCCGGCUUUU